rnacentral:rRNA from 1 species
AUGUUUGAUACAAAGAAAAAAUUGAAGUAUGCGGUGAUAAAGUGGGCUAUGUCUACGCAGAGGGUUUUUCGGACAUACAUAUCAAGUCCAACAAACUAUACGGUGAAAUGUGUUGAAACAGGUUGUCCAGGGAAGGUGCACGGGCACGUGCCGAAGUAUGACAUCCACUGGGUUGUCACCAUUGUCGUCCCACAUAAUUGUGUGAGGAAGAACCUGCUGGUGAAGCAUCCGAACCUGACUUCAAGUCUCAUCGCGCAACUCAUGUAUACUGAGAUAGUAGAGAAGAAACAUAUGGAAGCAAAACACAUCCAGACAGCAGUGCAGGUCAGAUGGAAUUAUGUC